rnacentral:tRNA from 1 species
GGGCGCUUGGCGCAGUGGCUAGCGCGACUGCUUUACACGCAGCUGGUCGGGGGUUCGAGUCCCUCAGCGCCCACCA